AGCGCAAACGCUGGCGGCAGGCCUAACACAUGCAAGUCGAACGAAGCCUUCGGGCUUAGUGGCGGACACGGGUGAGUAACGCGUGGGAACGUGCCCUUUGGUUCGGAAUAGCCCCGGGAAACUGGGAGUUUAAUACCGGAUAAGCCCUACGGGGGAAAGAUUUAUCGCCAAAGGAUCGGCCCGCGUUGGAGAUUAGGUAGUUGGUGGGGUAAUGGCCUACCAAGCCGACGAUCCAUAGCUGGUUUGAGAGGACAUGAUCAGCCACACUGGGACUGAGACACGGCCCAGACUCCUACGGGAGGCAGCAGUGGGGAAAAUCUUAGACAAUGGGGGAAACCCUGAUCUAGCCAUGCCGCGUGAUCGAUGAAGGCCUUAGGAGGUUGUAAAGAUCUUUCAGCUGGGAAGAUAAUGACUGUACCAGCAGAAGAAGCCCCGGCUCCAACUCCGUGCCAGCAGCCGCGGUAAUACGGAGGGGGCUAGCGUUGUUCGGAAUUACUGGGUACGUAAAGCGCACGUAGGCGGAACAGAAAGUCAGAGGUGAAAUCCCAGGGCUCAACCUUGGACAACUGCCUUUGAAACUCCUGUUCUUGAGGUCGAGAGAGGUGAGUGGAAUUCCGAGUGUAGGCAGGUGAAAUUCGU
rnacentral:rRNA from 1 species